rnacentral:rRNA from 1 species
UACGUAGGGUGCGAGCGUUGUCCGGAAUUAUUGGGCGUAAAGAGCUCGUAGGCGGCUUGUCACGUCGAUUGUGAAAGCCCGAGGCUUAACCUCGGGUCUGCAGUCGAUACGGGCUAGCUAGAGUGUGGUAGGGGAGAUCGGAAUUCCUGGUGUAGCGGUGAAAUGCGCAGAUAUCAGGAGGAACACCGGUGGCGAAGGCGGGUCUCUGGGCCGAUACUGACACUGAGGAGCGAAAGCGUGGGGAGCGAACAGG